rnacentral:sRNA from 1 species
UUCAGUUGAGUUGGGCUAGGCCCAAGGGGGUCCUAGUUUGAUCAAGACCAGGUUUGGCCUAACUUGAUCAAGACCAAGUCAAGUCAAGCCUAAGUUGAGUUGAGUCAGUCUAGACCAGGUCAAGCCUAGUCAACCUAUGCCCAAAUUGAACCAAGUCAACCCUUGUUUAAGUCAUGCCCAGUCUAGCAGGAUCAUGUUCAGUUGAGUUGGGCUAGGCCCAUGUCGAAUCAAGUUCAGACAGUUCAA